rnacentral:lncRNA from 1 species
CUAGGGUUUUGGUUUCGUUUCUGCAAUCUGCAUCUUGUUCAUCGGUAGGGGUUAUGUUUCUGUUUUUGUGCAACGGAUUAUGAGGGCUGAGGCGUAUAGGGGAGAGCAGUUAUGUUAAUUGUGGCUCUGAAAUACUCGUAGGUUCUCUACGGGGUGCCCUGCCUUCAAAGCCCUUCACAGCAAUAUGGCAUCAUAGUACGGGUUUUGUGCUUUGUGGCGUCUUGGGGAGGGGCAUUUUUGGAUUUUCGACUUUGGUCCUUAGAAAGCCCUUGCUUUCAUUCGCCAAAGUCCACUCUCCGAUUCCCUUCCUCCGCCACACUCUUCACCACGAAUCCGCCUCCAAACGCCAUUACAUUUCAAA